AGUGAACGCUGGCGGUAGGCCUAACACAUGCCAGUCGAACGGCAGCACAGUAAGAGCUUGCUCUUACGGGUGGCGAGUGGCGGACGGGUGAGGAAUACAUCGGAAUCUACUUUUUCGUGGGGGAUAACGUAGGGAAACUUACGCUAAUACCGCAUACGACCUACGGGUGAAAGCAGGGGAUCUUCGGACCUUGCGCGAUUGAAUGAGCCGAUGUCGGAUUAGCUAGUUGGCGGGGUAAGGGCCCACCAAGGCGACGAUCCGUAGCUGGUCUGAGAGGAUGAUCAGCCACACUGGAACUGAGACACGGUCCAGACUCCUGCGGGAGGCAGCAGUGGGGAAUAUUGGACAAUGGGCGCAAGCCUGAUCCAGCCAUACCGCGUGGGUGAAGAAGGCCUUCGGGUUGUAAAGCCCUUUUGUUGGGAAAGAAAAGCAGCAGGUUAAUACCCCGCUGUUCUGACGGUACCCAAAGAAUAAGCACCGGCUAACUUCGUG
rnacentral:rRNA from 1 species